CAUUGUCCAUGUUCUUCAUCGUCUCUGAAAAUGUGGGCAUAAAUUAUCAGUCAAUAAAAGAAAAUGCAUUGCAACCUAUUACGAUUUUCUCUCAUUCAUGGAGUUUACUUUUUCAAAUCUUAAUUGUUUAGAUAAAUCAUUCAGCAUGGCAACGGAAGGACCUGCAAAGGAGAUAUCUGACAUCAUCCACCAAUGGGAAGAGGCCCACUCUGGGUUAGAUUAUGACCCUACAUCAACCCUUACCCUGCUAUCAGAUAUGCUGGAGGUUGAAUAUGCCAAAUAUCUUGAGUCAAAUCCAGAUCCCUUUGAUGAAAGACAUCCAUCUCGAAUUCGACCUAAUUGUGCUUUGGAAAUAUGCUGAAAAUCAUCUUCCGAAAGGAAGCUUUCAUGAACAAGUUAGUUUCAGAUUACCUCAAAGAAAAUUAUUUCACUCGAAAUCAUCGAGAUGGAGAUUACGUCGCAUUAAAUACUGCUGCUUGUCGAUUGACUGUGAAUCUGUUGCUUGGUUUGGAAGCUGCAGCCGUAUUAGGACCAGUAAGUUAAUUUUGCCAUCAUUUUUGUCCUUUUUAUUUUAGGAGAAAAGGAGGGAUCUCUCUGAAACCUUAUUUGUUUAACCUCCCGCCCCACCCUCCCCCUCCGGAAGUUGUUUGCAUUAACAAUAAGUUACCAAAAAAUACUUUAUUUCACCAUCAUAGACCGUAGAAUGUAAAAAGUUGACAGAUAAGGU
rnacentral:lncRNA from 1 species